rnacentral:rRNA from 1 species
UACGUAGGGAGCAAGCGUUGUCCGGAAUCAUUGGGCGUAAAGCGCGCGUAGGCGGCCCGAUAAGUCCGCUGUAAAAGUCAACGGCUCAACUGUUGAAAGCCGGUGGAUACUGUCGGGCUAGAGUACGGAAGAGGCAAGUGGAAUUCCUGGUGUAGCAGUGAAAUGCGUAGAUAUCAGGAGGAAUACCGAUGGCGAAGGCAGGUCUCUGGGCUGACACUGACGCUCAUGCACGAAAGCGUGGGGAGCAAACAGG